rnacentral:rRNA from 1 species
UCAUUACAUCAGUUGUGGUUCCUUGGACUGUACCCAGUUACUUGGAUAACUGCGGAAAAUCUGGAGCUAAUACAUGCCGACAGAGUCCCGACCAGAGAUGGGAGGGACGCUUUUAUUAGAUCAAAACCAAAAAUCUCCUUCGGGGGAAACGGUUAAAGGUGACUCUGAAUAACUUUGUGCAGAUCGCACGGCCCUCGCGCCGGCGACGCGUCUUUCAAAUGUCUGCCUUAUCAACUUUCGAUGGUAGGCUCUGCGCCUACCAUGGUUGUAACGGGUGACGGGGAAUCAGGGUUCGAUUC